UACGGUAGGGGCUAGCGUUAUCCGGAAUUACUGGGCGUAAAGGGUGCGUAGGUGGUUUCUUAAGUCAGAGGUGAAAGGCUACGGCUCAACCGUAGUAAGCCUUUGAAACUGGGAAACUUGGGUGCAGAAGAGGAGAGUGGAAUUCCAUGUGUAGCGGUGAAAUGCGUAGAUAUAUGGAGGAACACCAGUGGCGAAGGCGACUCUCUGGUCUGUUAUUGACACUGAGGCUCGAAAGCGUGGGGAGCAAACAGGAUUAGAUACCCGGGUAGUCCCUGAGCGGG
rnacentral:rRNA from 1 species